ensembl:processed_transcript Snhg1 small nucleolar RNA host gene 1
GGUGCCACCUUACAAAAGGAUGGGUGUACGCUCUCUUUUCAGAUUUGGGGUUUUUUUUUCUGUUCUAGAUGUGGUUCAUCUCAAAGCCCUUUACACUUUGGAGCCAGGCCUGUUCAAUUUUACAAAUAACACGUUUUGCUUGUAGUCAGGGUGCUGUGACAACAUGAAGAGUUCGAGCUACCUCCCAGGAUGAGUGCAGGUUUUCCUGGUGACAAAUCUCAGGCAUUCAAAGGUUCUGUUAGCAGUGCCAUACUUGUGGGUUUACAGAGAUGGUGUGUCUGGCUGAGAACAAAGGAGCCGUACCAGGGAAGUUGAAGCCUAUCUUCAUUUUCAAGUGCAGGCUAAAAUAAGGUCUGAGGAAAAGAAUGAGCAGCGUGUGAAGGAUAGGAACAGAAAUCAUGGAAGAUCUGUUUGUCCAGGCCAGUGUUUCACCAUAAGAGAUCACUUUAAAAUAAAUGAGAUGAAAUAAUUCUUUGCAAUUGCAAAUUUACCUUCC